rnacentral:ncRNA from 1 species
AACUUACACAUGCAAGUCUCAGCAUACCAGUGAGGACGCCCUUUCAACCUUCACUAGACAAAGGGGCCGGCAUCAGACACAACCUUUAGUCCACAACGCCUAGUCUCACCACACCCCCAAGGGUAAUCAGCAGUGAUAAAUUUUAAGCAUGAGCGACAGCUUGACUCAAUUAGAGAAAAGAGGGCCGGCCAACCUGGUGCCAGCCGCCGCGGCUACCCCACGGGGCCCAAAUUGAAAAUUAUCGGCGUUAAGCGUGAUUAAAGUACAUUUAGAUUAAGGUUAAACUAAUACUCAGUAGUUUAAAGCUCGUCAUUAAGAAGAACACAAACGAAAGUUACCUUAACCCCCCACACUUGAAUACACGACAGCUGGGGGACAAACUAGGAUUAGAUACCCUACUAUGCCCAGCCGUAAACAAUUAACUCACACCCAUAAGCGCCAGGGAACUACGAGCUACGCUUAAAACCCAAAGGAUUUGACGGUGUCCCACCCCCCUAGAGGAGCCUGUUCUUUAAUCGAUGAUCCCCGCUAUACCCCACCACCCCUUGCUCAUCAGUCUGUAUACCUCCGUCGAAAGCCUACCGUGUGAACGUUUAUAGUAGGCUCAAUGACCACCCUAUUCGUCAAUACGUCAGGUCAAGGUGCAGCUUAAGGGAUGGAAAGUAAUUGGCUACAAUUUCUAAUUUAGAACAAACGAAAGGUUAUGUGAAAUCACAACCACGAAGGCGGAUUUAGUAGUAAAAAGAAAAUAGAGAGUUCUUUUUAACCCGGCUCUGGGACGCGUACACACCGCCCGUCACCCUCUUCAAUAGUAUUACCC